GGGGCUGCAGCGAGGGGGUAGGCCGCGGGCGGCUACAACGGCGGGCAUACUAUGGGUGGCAUCCAGGCCGCGCGGCGGCGGCCCCUGGCCUGGGUGCGGGAGUUCUAGGGGCGUCGGCCUGAUCGUCGAGCGCGUCCGCGGCGGCGAGCUGCUCGAGCUCCUUCCCAACCUGCGAGGCGAGCUUGGCGGUGUCGCGUCUGCGCACGGCGGCAUGGAGCUCGGUGUCGUGCUGCCUAAGCGCGAGCAGCGCCGCGAGAAAGGUGCCGGAGGUGUCGGUCAGGACGAGGAAGCCAUCGAGCAGGCUGUCCACGCAGCUAUUGCAUCGAUUUGGUGGCUGAGGUCGAUCCGGAACCAGAAGCGGCGGCGCUCGAUUUAGCCGAUGAGCUAAGAACAGUGGGGGGUGCGGCGGCGCUGCAGCGGGCGUGGGAGGCGUGGCGGGGGGCGGCGCUGCAGCGAGCGCGAUAGGUGUGGCGGGGGUGGCGCUCACGCGUGCGUGGGUCCCUGCGCUGCAGCAGGCGAUGGCAAGCAUGCGGCGUGUGGCUCCCCUGCCGAGGUGGCCGACGAGGUGCCUCUUCGCUGGUGAAUAACAGUUCUCUCCGGCGAAGCUGAUGGUGUUUUCUUCGAUUGUUUCUUCCUCUUCCUUCUUGGGUGAUGGGAUGGCCGAUGAUCCUUAAAUUUAAUUGAUGCGCCGUGAUUGGUUUGGGCGCUGGCCGAUGAUCCUUCUCGCUACUGGGCGCCGAGAACAGGCUAGCAAGUAGCAACAGCACCCUGGUUGGGCAUCCAGAGCAUGAAUGCUUCGAACUCGAUGGCUGCCUUCAAGGUGUUAGACGGAAUGCGCAUACACCACUGAAUUGCCAGGCUAGGCAACGCUGAAUCGCCAGGCUAGGCAACGCUUGACAUCACACAUCUCAAGACUCAAAGAUUUGGUAUGUUCUGCUGUGCCUUCAUUGGGGUUACUUGGCAAGGUACCAACCUAACCAAGGAGGCCAACUUGAGGUAUGUGACACUCUGAACAAUGGUUGAGAACAUUGUUUGUGAUGAUGAAUGUUGUUUUUUAGGAAAUAGUAUGCUGCUUGGCAGUGCAUAAGGAGAAUAUUAAUGUUGUGUGGCAUAUAUGAAGUGACUAGGUGAGUUUCUGAUUCCUCAAAUUGAUUCUUUUCAAAUAACAAAUUUUAUGAGCUUAAUUACUCACUUUCCUCAAGUGAACUUCUUGAUUACUAAAAAAUGAGAAUCCGAAAGUAAAAAGUUGUUUUUACCUUGGUUUCGGGAUAUGAGAAAUUGUCAAGUCUUUUUACUGCAAAAAACAUGAGCGGUGGUGCAGCAUGUGGGGGAGUUGCUGCAUGAGCAACAGAAGCUCGGGUCCUUCAUGGUGCUCCCAAUCUGAGCAGGUCUUUGAAUCGAGUGGCAGUGGAAUAGUGGAUAAUAGGCUGUUGGGUGAGAUGGUAGUGGCUGAAAUCAACAGAUGCACGUGAGAAUUUUUAAUAUGUGGAUAGUUGGGCUGGAUACUGAUUACAAGCUGAUUGCAGCAAUUUAGGAUACAAAUUCUGAUAUUUGGUAUGUUUAUUAGCCUAUACUUUAUGCAUAAGUCUGUUUUGGCAUUGUAAUAUCUUUUUAUUUUGUCGCAUUAGAUAGUUGGUGCUUAUGAUUGUGUACACUAAACAGGUUGGUAAUGCCUGAGGACGAGUUUCAUAAAUUAGCAGAUGAGACGAUUCACGAUUUGCUUGAAAAAUUUGAGGUGAUGAAUCUUUGAUAUGGCCUUCAGGAAUAUGGUGACUCCCUUCAGAUGGAUGGUUUCAACAUUGACUACGGGUUUAGU